rnacentral:sRNA from 1 species
GACUUAAUUUGAUGUUAAAAUUCAAUGUACAAGAUUUUUGAAAAUUAUGAAUUUUAGAAAAUGGAGGUCUUAAUUAGCAAAAGUAAAACAUUAAAUAUCUUAUACUUUAUGUGCAAUGGUCAACUAACUUCUGUUCGAGAUGAAUCAUGAAUACAAUUUUUCAAAUUAGCCAAUCAGAGACUGGAAUGUAAAGGUUUGCUGUCCCGUCUUACAAUAAUAGACUUUGAUAAGAAUGAGGACCUUGUUCUGCCUUGGACCAUAGAGAAAUAUACAUAGGUUUCUUCAUAUAUUAACCAUGAAUAUUUCUCAAUGGUCCAAGACAGAGCAAUGUCCUCAUCUUACUAAAGUCAUACACUCUUACCGUGAAGGAAAUAAAACUCGGCUAAAUCAGCCAUCAGGUACUGGGGAACUGAUUAGAAAUACUGGUAUCAGUGUUUUGUUUAAAAUGACUUAUUAUUUGUAAACCUAAAAAAAAAAAAAAGCAAAUAAAAUUUGGAAAAU